rnacentral:rRNA from 1 species
GGUGGUUUGUCGCGUUGUUCGUGAAAUCUCACGGCUUAACUGUGAGCGUGCGGGCGAUACGGGCAGACUUGAGUACUGCAGGGGAGACUGGAAUUCCUGGUGUAGCGGUGGAAUGCGCAGAUAUCAGGAGGAACACCGGUGGCGAAGGCGGGUCUCUGGGCAGUAACUGACGCUGAGGAGCGAAAGCGUGGGGAGCGAACAGGAUUAGAUACCCUGGUAGUCCACGCCGUAAACGGUGGGUACUAGGUGUGGGUUUCCUUCCUUGGGAUCCGUGCCGUAGCUAACGCAUUAAGUACCCCGCCUGGGGAGUACGGCCGCAAGGCUAAAACUCAAAGAAAUUGACGGGGGCCCGCACAAGCGGCGGAGCAUGUGGAUUAAUUCGAUGCAACGCGAAGAACCUUACCUAGGUUUGACAUGCACAGGACGCCGGCAGAGAUGUCGGUUCCCUUGUGGCCUGUGUGCAGGUGGUGCAUGGCUGUCGUCAGCUCGUGUCGUGAGAUGUUGGGUUAAGUCCCGCAACGAGCGCAACCCUUGUCUCAUGUUGCCAGCGGGUAAUGCCGGGGACUCGUGAGAGACUGCCGGGGUCAACUCGGAGGAAGGUGGGGAUGACGUCAAGUCAUCAUGCCCCUUAUGUCCAGGGCUUCACACAUGCUACAAUGGCCGGUACAAAGGGCUGCGAUGCCGCGAGGUUAAGCGAAUCCUUUUAAAGCCGGUCUCAGUUCGGAUCGGGGUCUGCAACUCGACCCCGUGAAGUCGGAGUCGCUAGUAAUCGCAGA